rnacentral:rRNA from 1 species
UUUUGGUUGAUCCUGGCGGAGGGGUUACNGCCAUNGGUUUUCGCCUUAAGCCAUGCGAUUUAUUUGUAGCCAUUCCANGGCGUACUGCUCAGUAACACGUGGAUAACCUGCCCUUGGGACCGGCAUAACCCCGGGAAACUGGGGAUAAUUCCGGAUAACGCAUAUUUGCUGGAAUGCUUUAUGCGUCAAAAGGAUUUGUCUGCCCAAGGAUGGGUUUGCGGCCUUUCAGGUAGUAGUGGGUGUAAUGUACCUACUAGCCAGCGACGGGUACGGGUUGUGAGAGCAAGAGCCCGGAGAUGGAUUCUGAGACAUGAAUCCAGGCCCUACGGGGCGCAGCAGGCGCGAAAACUUUACAAUGCGGGAAACCGUGAUAAGGGGACACCGAGUGCCAGCAUCAUAUGCUGGCUGUCCGGAUGUGUAAAAUACAUCCGUUAGCAAGGGCCGGGCAAGACCGGUGCCAGCCGCCGCGGUAACACCGGCGGCCCGAGUGGUGAUCGUGAUUAUUGGGUCUAAAGGGUCCGUAGCCGGUUUGGUCAGUCCUCCGGGAAAUCUGAUAGCUCAACUUUUAGGCUUUCGGGGGAUACUGCCAGGCUUGGAACCGGGAGAGGUAAGAGGUACUACAGGGGUAGGAGUGAAAUCUUGUAAUCCCUGUGGGACCACCUGUGGCGAAGGCGUCUUACCAGAACGGGUUCGACGGUGAGGGACGAAAGCUGGGGGCACGAACCGGAUUAGAUACCCGGGUAGUCCCAGCCGUAAACGAUGCUCGCUAGGUGUCAGGCAUGGCGCGACCAUGUCUGGUGCCGCAGGGAAGCCGUGAAGCGAGCCACCUGGGGAAGUACGGCCGCCAGGCUGAAACUUAAAGGAAUUGGCCGGGGAGCAGAACAACGAGGUGGGAGCCUGGGNUUUAAUUGUAUUCAACGCCGGACAACUCACCGGGGGCGACGGCAAUAUGUAGGCCAAGCUGAAGACUUUGCCUGAUUUGCUUAGAGGAGGUGCAUGGCCGUCGCCCGUACGUACUGUGAAAGCAUCCUGUUAAGUCGGGCAACGAGCG